rnacentral:rRNA from 1 species
GUCCACGCCGUAAAACGAUGGACACUAGGCGUCGGGGGGAGCGACCCUCCCGGUGCCGUCGCUAACGCAGUAAGUGUCCCGCCUGGGGAGUACGGCCGCAAGGCUGAAACUCAAAGGAAUUGACGGGGGCCCGCACAAGCGGUGGAGCAUGUGGUUUUAAUUCGAAGCAACGCGAAGAACCUUACCUGGGCUUGACAUGCUGGUGAAAGCCGGUGGAAACAUCGGCCCCCUCUUCGGAGCGCCAGCACAGGUGCUGCAUGGCUGUCGU